GACAGAGGGUGCAAACGUUGCUCGGAAUCACUGGGCGUAAAGGGCGCGUAGGCGGGGAUGUAAGUCGGGCGUGAAAUCCCCAGGCUCAACCUGGGAACUGCACUCGAAACUGCGUUUCUUGAGUAUCGGAGAGGAAAGCGGAAUUCCUGGUGUAGAGGUGAAAUUCGUAGAUAUCAGGAGGAACACCAGUGGCGAAGGCGGCUUUCUGGACGGUAACUGACGCUGAGGCGCGAAAGCUAGGGGAGCAAACGGG
rnacentral:rRNA from 1 species